rnacentral:lncRNA from 10 species
GGCCAAGGGGAGGUCAUUUCAGUUGGUUGCGGGCCUUAGAAUUGUAUUUUUAUUCCUCAUAGUCAUAUAUUAUUCCAUGUAAAUUGACAGUGGCUAUGAGGAAGCUAAGGAAAGCCGGCAAGUACUAAAAAGAAUUGCAGCAGUUCUGCAAAUAAAUCUCAGGAUGUCUCUAAGUUGCAUCCAUUUAACAAGAUGCCUACAUAACAUGUCAAUCACUUAGCAAGAUGCCUGCACAACAUGUCAAUCAUUUAAUAAGAUGCCUACAUAACACGUCAGUCAUUUAGCAAGAUGCCUCCAUAACAUGUCAAGAUGUCCCUCACAUCCAAUGGACAAAAGGGGAAAUAGAAUGGUAGUCAUAGCCAUUUUGCUUUUUGCUGACUGUGAAUAUGAGCUGUCACACCAUCAAUGUGCUGUUUGGAAAGAGUUUCAGACAUGUCUCAAAGUCCCUUGCACCGUUUGGGAACAAAAUAUGAUCUCUAGAGAAGCAGAUAUUUAAACAUCUGAAUAAAAAUAUUCUAAACUUUGGAUCAUAAAAGUCAUUUGGAGACAUAGUACAUGCAAGUAAUUUGAUUUUCUAACAUACACUCAGUCCUUAAAUAAAAUAGAAAAUAGUCGUUUGCUUCAAAAGUAUUGAUGAGCCAUGGGUUUUUCUUACAUUUACUUUGAAAGUGGAGUAAAGUGCAUAUAACACUUGCCAAAUGAGGAAAUUAUAGGAAUAUUUUUAAAGAUCAUAUGUAAAUGGACCUUGUAAUACAUACUUCAACCAUAGAUAACUUUAAAUACAUUAUUUAUUACUUAAGAUGUGUUUGUUUUCACAUACUAAUAAAAAUCAAUGAACAUUCAUUAUCCAUCCCAAGAGGUUAUGGCCCUGAAGAGAGCCCGGGGUGAAAAACCCAGGCAGGCGGGUUAGGGCCUGGCUUGGGACGUUCUCAGUGGCAGACGCCAUGGCGAGGUGGCGUGUCACAUCUCCAGUGUGGUGAUCUGUGCCAGCAGCCAGGGCUCUUGACUGGACUUCUUUGUUUAAAGCUGUAUCCCUGCCCAACAGGCUGAGAAACUUUGCAGCCUGGGCACAAGCCUCUGCCUGCUCCCCGACCUCACCCUCCCUACAUGCUGCAGAUCUCGUGGACUGAAUGGCGCCCCCCAGUCCUGCGCUGAAGUCCCAGCUCCCAGUGAGACUGUAUUUGGACUCAGGGCCUUCGGGUGCAACAAGAGACCUGUGUCCAGACGUCCCUUCCCUCCCCUUCUCUCCAGGAGCCCUCGGGCAGGGUUGACUACACAUUUGGGAACUAGAGGGAUAGGUUCUUUCCCUCAGAAGCAUGCGAACUGUUUCUUCCCCAAUUUCAGUUUUGAUUCUUGGAGGUGAUUUGGGUGUGGAGGACUCUGAGACCACAGGUGCACUAGGUAGACUAGAGGAGGAGGGGCCAGUGGGGCCCCCCAGGAGGGUCAAGCAUCUGCUUGGCAAAGACCCCUGGAUGGAGCAGCCAGACCCAACUUCCAGGCCUCCUCUGCUGUAGAUUUGGAAAGAGUGUGUCUGUUGCGGGCUGGGUCUGGGAAAGAGUGUGUCUGAUGCAGGCUGGGCCUGAAGGACAGGUCACUUUGAGUGCAAAUGGCUUGAGCAAAGGGCAGGGCAGAAAAGCAGGGCCAGGUGGCAGCUGGGAGCACUUGGUUUGUCUGGGACUCAAGAGAGAAGGGUGCCAUGGAGGUGGGCUCGACACUCACCCGGGUGCUGAUGGGCUCCACACCCAGGAGGAAAGAACUUCCCUGUGCUGGAUACUUGAGUAGGGUAUGAAAGCUCUGUGCUGCAGGAAGGAUCGUGGGUGAGGGUGUGCCAGGCAGACUGGCCAAAAUGGAUGGGGAUGAGGGGUUCCCUUGAGAGUUAGGGGUAGAAAUUGGGAAAAGGGGUGAUUUUAGGAGACAGUUCAGAGAGAGCAAUGACCUGACUUCACAGUGGUUUGCAUGGGAGCAUGAGAGUGAGAAGAAGCCCAAAGUUUGGUUCUGGCUGCCUGGUGGAUGGUGGUGCCAGCACCGAAUCAAGGUGCCCAGGGGAAGAAGUGGGAUUUGGAGGAAUUCAGAUCAAGUGUUGAAAUGUGAGUUUUAAGUGCUGAUGGAACAUCUGGUGGAGAUAUUCACAAGAAGUUGGGAAGAUACAGUUACAGAGGAAGAUGGUACUGGUGGCAAACGCUACGGAAGUCAACUGCUGGUGUUCCCCAGUCUGACUUGGGCAUGUCUCCCUCUGCCCCGGAGGAACCCUCCCAGCAAGCUGGGUGACCUGGGGUCUGACUCCUGCAGAGGAAUUGCAUGUCUGGUGGACACUGCCUCUGGUGAUCUGAAAGAUGCCAUCUGUGUUUGAGCUUGGUGCAGCCUCAGUAGCUUAAACAUUUGUCCCUGAGCACCUGUGGGUUUGUGGUGUAGGUAAUGCCUCCGUGCUGUGUGUUUGUAGGACAUGAUGACUGGCCCAAUCUCUUGUACUGUGCAGAGCCACAUAUCUGAAGUGUGGUGCCCAGGUCGGCCAUGGUAGCUCCUGCUGAAUGCAUGCAGCAGAGACACCCUGAACACUCACUAUCUCUUUCUGUGCAUUUAAAACAUUUGAGGCCUAAGAGACGGAAACACCCUGUUCUUUAUGGGCUGGGGCCAUGAAUUUGCACGGACCCGUUUACGGAGAGGGAAAGGUUGGGGUCCUGGAUACCAGCUGGCGCACGGGUCCAGAUGGAGUGGCAGUGCAGAGCUGGGAGCUGCAGACUCACUGGAGGCUCUGGGAAGCUCCAGGAAGGGAUGUGGAAGCCAGGUGUUGAAGCGUUUUUCAAGCAAGUGACAGGGGCAUGGGCCAGCUUGGUGGCCACAGGACCACAGGACUGCAGGACCUCGGGUGCAGGUCUUAAAGUGCCUUUCAAGCAGGUUACAGGGCAUGGACAAGCUUGGCAGCCACAGGACUGCAGGACCUCGGGUGCAGGCGUGGACCAGCUUGGCGGCUGCAGGACCUCGGGUGCAGGCGUGGACUAGCUUGGUGGCUGCAGGGCUGCAGGACUGCAGGACCUCGGGUGCAAGUGUGGACCAGCUUGGCGGCUGCAGGACCUCAGGUGCAGGUGUGGACCAGCUUGGUGGCUGCAGGACCUCGGUUGCAGGUGUGGACCAGCUUGGCGGCUGCAGGACUGCAGGACCUCAGGUGCAGGUGGGCAUUUCAUUAUCAUCGCUGCUGUUUGCGAGAUGAUGCUUGGGGUGGUUCAAGCAGCUGCCGGGACAUCAUGAAGGAGGGAUUCCACCUGUGCCAACCCCACCCGGCUGUGUCAGGAUCACCUGGGGCUUUUAACAGUGCCCGGACUCCAGCCCAGACCAAUGAGGCCUAAAUUUCUGGUGAUGCCCAGGUGUGAGCAUUUAAAAAUAUAUAUAUCUACAAGAGAUUCCAUUGUACGACUAAGAUUGAAGGUCAUUGUGGAAUUUCCGUCAGGAAAAUGGCCCUGAGUUUUACAGAGGUCACUUUGGGGUUGGUGCAGGGCAUGGACCAGGCGGGAAGGGCUGUGGCAGAGGUGGGGCCGUCUGUCGGGCGGCACUGAACGCCCAGGCGGCUGCCUUCUCUUCUACAUCCAGCCUCCUGCUGCAAGGACACAGAGGCCCAGGACCUCCUCCCAGCACCUGAGCACCACCCUGCUUUUGCCCAUGGACACGGAAGUCUCCAGCUCCCAGGCCCCCUUUGACAUCGUCAGGUGUGCCAGGCCUUGAUUCAUCUAGCCUAAAACACAGCGUUUAGCAACAGUUCACUUGAAAUAUAAACAAAUUCCCAGUUAAAGGAGCUUCUGCCGAUCAGAGGGUCUGAGGGAUCCUGGGUUUCAGGUUGAAAGUUCUGGCUGGGCCUCUGCUCUGCCCUUCUCUGGCGGACAAACCCCACCCAUUGCCUGGCUCCGCUGCUGGGCUUGCUCCAAAGUCCCCUUGGAGUCAAGGCCACUUCGAGGCUCCACACCUGUGCUCGGCUCUGCUGGCUGGGAGCAGCCUCUCUGGUGUCCUCUCUGUCUUGAAGUCACCUCCCACCUUCUCCGAGGUGGCCUGAGAGCAACCAGGCGGCUUCUUCCUGG